rfam:Pantoea vagans C9-1, complete genome.
CUUUAACAAUCCGGAACAAGCUGAAAAUUGAAACGACGUGUCGUUUUCAUUCUCCGUAAUAAGAAUGAAAAAUACGAUGCGUUCGAGUCUCUCAAAUGCUUGCAGCUCGCAGCGUUGAAAAACGCCUGUGG